ensembl:miRNA oni-mir-10970 oni-mir-10970
GUCGAAAUGAUUCCAGGAACAGAAUGAAGUCCAACUUCAUUCUGUUCCUGGAAUCAUUUCGACUC